CCCUAGCUUUCACUUUUCACUAAACCCCCUGCCUCCCCAAAAUUACCUCAGCUCACAUGAUCGUCCCAAUCUCUCCUCCACCACCCAUGACCGCCGCUAAAUCCAGCGCCCUUCGCCACCUCUCCCGUCCUGUUCCCUCGCCGACGAAUCGUUGUUCCUCGUCAUCGUCGACUUAUCGAGAUCCCCAACCUCGCCGCGUCCUACACCAGCGCCAGCCAGUACUUGCAUCUCCGCCUCCGCGACCGGCGCACGGUCCUCGACCUAUUGCCGGCUCCACAACGGAUAUCCCCUGCGAGCUGCGGAGAGGCGAUGUUGUCGAAUUGAGCCCGCCGGUUGGUAGCGGUUUCUAUUUUGAAGGAAAUUGAGAUUGCAAAGUUGCUUUGCACAUAACUAAUUUGCAUCCAGCAAAGUGUUGGCAAAUAGAGAAAGGCACACAGAGAGAGAUAGGAAUGGAUUCAAUCAGUGCCCCUCAGAUGGCUUCCAACUAUGAUGAAAUCUUCAUGCAGUGUAGUUUGCAGAAAGCCUGAAGAAUUUCAUCAUGCAUAGUAUGGAACCAGGGUGCAUGAUGUACCCAAGUUAUAAUAUUUGGGUUCAGCUUAUAUGGUGCCAUUAGGCUAUUAAAUCCACAUAUUCCUGGAUAAAAUUUUCAAAGGGAAGGACACAAAAACUGUAGCUAAGAAGGUGGUGGAGAAACUUACAAUUUCACCUUGGAACAACCAGUAGGUGUUUAUGAUCUACUAUGGCUUAGUUAUCGAGGGGAGACCUUGGAUGCAUAAAAAAUGAAGAAGGAAUAUCCAAUUGUCUUGUAUGCGUCGUGAACAAUCUGUACGUAAUGAAGGUUGAUUUGUUUGUCAUGAAUUUGGCAAAUCCAGAGAGAUUUAGAUUUGCAAGGGAAACAUCAUUUCAGAGGAGGCACUUGAGCUACUGGACCAAAAUGCCACUUCUUUUGUGGAACGCUGAAAACCAGUUUGGGUGUCUAUUGCAGGCUCUGGACAUGUGUGCCCCCCUCUCAUGGAGGAAUUGGUUUCGGGUUGGAUGGACUGCUGAUGCUAUUGGGUGGGGCUAGUACGAUCAGGGAACUCAUAGGGUUCCCCAUGACAACUGCCUGCCGUUGUUACUCGUGCACUGUCGAUUUCUCCCUCAUUUGUAAGUAGAAUUAUUUGGUGAUGCUCAUUGAUUUUGCUCACCAUUUUCUGAUGUAUUGCCCAAAUAAACGCAGGCCUAAUUUUAGUGGAAUUUAAUAUCCAAUUUGUUGAUUGAUGCUCAUUAAUUUUAAUAGUAUUAUUUUUUUGUCA